CUGUUUUCCUGAGUGCUGACACCAUUCCUGGCACAAAGUAAGGGCUCAACAAAUAUUUGCACGGUGAAUGAAUGGAUAUGGAAAACAGAAAGGGCUGGGGGGAUGGAGGGAACAUGGCCAGUGCUAAGUCUCGGGGUACCGUGUUUAGGAGGAGCUUGGGCUUUAGCCCUCAGACAUGGAGAGGGCCCUGAAGUUGUCUGCCACGAAGUGACAGCCCAGAUGAGCUGCAGAAAGCUAAGAGAGCCCAAACAGAGGGAGAAGAUCUGGAUGGAUACAUUUCUCCUGCCUGUGAGAGGUCUAUAUAUCACUGAGGAGUUAAAACAUAAAAAUAAAAUUGUGCUGGCUGUUGCUACCACGAAGCUAUCAAGCCAGGUCUUGUUGCCGAAGCCCUGGCAUCUGCCGUGUAAUUGGCGAGCACUUAGUCUCCCAUCCGUGGGUGGGGGCGGCUGACUUCUGUCUUUGUAGCCUCCUAAUUAAAAAGAACCAGG
rnacentral:lncRNA from 1 species